AAUCCAUGCAUCGGACAUUUCUAAAGUAAUUUCUUAAAUAGUUCCUAAGCUUCAUAUAACGUUUCAUCUUCUAAUUUCUGAAAAGAUUUGAUGUCAUUUCUAAGCUU
rfam:Gossypium raimondii Chr03_contig_589, whole genome shotgun sequence.